CACGUUGAAACACCGAUUCCCGUACGAUCACCGAAGGUAAGCAAUGUUGAAACUCGUCAGUACCUAGAUGGGUAACCGCUUGGGAAUUCCAAGUGCUGUAAG